AUUGAACGCUGGCGGCAGGCCUAACACAUGCAAGUCGAACGGUAGCACAGAGAGCUUGCUCUCGGGUGACGAGUGGCGGACGGGUGAGUAAUGUCUGGGAAACUGCCUGAUGGAGGGGGAUAACUACUGGAAACGGUAGCUAAUACCGCAUAAUGUCGCAAGACCAAAGAGGGGGACCUUCGGGCCUCUUGCCAUCAGAUGUGCCCAGAUGGGAUUAGCUAGUAGGUGGGGUAACGGCUCACCUAGGCGACGAUCCCUAGCUGGUCUGAGAGGAUGACCAGCCACACUGGAACUGAGACACGGUCCAGACUCCUACGGGAGGCAGCAGUGGGGAAUAUUGCACAAUGGGCGCAAGCCUGAUGCAGCCAUGCCGCGUGUAUGAAGAAGGCCUUCGGGUUGUAAAGUACUUUCGGCGGGGAGGAAGGUGUUGUGGUUAAUAACCGCAGCAAUUGACGUUACCCGCAGAAGAAGCACCGGCUAACUCCGUGCCAGCCGCCGCAGUAACAC
rnacentral:rRNA from 1 species